GGUGAAUGGCGGCAUGUCAGUAGAAAUUUCGAUUUAUUUGAGAGAGAUUCCAUCUCUGAAAUGGAGACGAUUCUGCAGAAUGCUGUGACCUAGCUGCUGGCAUCAGAUACUACAUUCAGAUCCAACAAGACUGGUAUUCUUGUAAGAUGGGCUAUAAACACUGAAGUAAUAAUUGGCAGAACUACAACUACUACUACGUUGAGAACCUACCAGUCUGUCAGCCAGCCAACCAGGAACUUUACCAUCCCCCAGCCACCUUGUCAGCAAUCAGUCAACCAGUCUGUCUGUCAGCCAGUCAACCAGGAACCCAAUCAUCUCCCAGCCACCUUGUCAGCAANCCAAUCAAGCAGUUGCCUGCCAGUCAGUCAACCAGGAACCAACCGUCUUCUAGCCAUGUUGAUGCACCAAGUUUCACAAUGUAACUUGUACAGAGACACGAUGGUUAGGAAGCCCCUGAGAACCAACAGUUUGGAAGAGUAAAAACAUGGCCUAGACUGAAUUCUACAAUCCAAUCAACUACUCAGCUUGUCAUCUUGAGCCAGUCAUGCUAGAC